AGAUCUGUAAGCUCAAAACGGUAGAGCUCUCAUUACGAGAGGUUGGUGGUUCGAAUCCACCCAGAUCUG
rfam:Arabis alpina cultivar Pajares chromosome 7, whole genome shotgun sequence.